rnacentral:rRNA from 1 species
AGAGCGCACAGGGGAUGCCUUGGCACUAGGAGCCGAAGAAGGACGCGACGAACAGCGAAAUGCUGCGGGGAGCCGUAAGUAAGCAAAGAUCCGCAGAUGUCCGAAUGGGGGAACCCACUAACUAGAAGAGUUAGUAUCCUACGGGGAAUACAUAGCCGUAGGAAGGAAGACCCGGAGAACUGAAACAUCUAAGUAUCCGGAGGAAAAGAAAGCAAUAGCGAUUCCCUAAGUAGAGGCGAUUGAACGGGGAGCAGCCCAGACACCGACAAAGAGUUACAAAACUUUAAUAUAGCCAAAUGAUUUUGGAAUAGUCAAUCAAAGAGGGUGAAAAUCCCGUAGGCGAAAUGUUAAAGACUCUGGUGGCGAAGAGUAAGGCGGGGCACGAGGAAUCCUGUCUGAAAAUGCGAGGACCAUCUCGUAAGGCUAAAUACUACCUAGUGACCGAUAGUGAACCAGUACUGUGAAGGAAAGGUGAAAAGAACCCCUGGCGGGGAGUGAAAAGAACCUGAAACUGUGUGCUUACAAAUAGUUAGAGCUCGUUCAUGAGUGAUAGCGUGCCUUUUGUAGAAUGAACCGGCGAGUUACGUUAGUUUGCGAGGUUAAGGUUUGAGGACCGGAGCCGAAGCGAAAGCGAGUCUGAAUAGGGCGGCUUAGUAGACUGACGUAGACCCGAAACCGGGUGAUCUAGCCAUGAGCAGGCUGAAGUUGGGGUAAGACCCAAUGGAGGGCCGAACCAGGGUCUGUUGAAAAAGACUUGGAUGACUUGUGGCUAGGGGUGAAAUUCCAAUCGAACUCGGAGAUAGCUGGUUCUCCCCGAAAUAGCUUUAGGGCUAGCGUUGCGAGAAAGUUAUCUGGAGGUAGAGCUCUGAAUGGGUGAUGGCCGCACCUCGCGGUACUGAUCUCAAUCAAACUACGAAUGCCAGAUAAUAUACGCAGCAGUCAGACAGUGGGUGAUAAGGUCCAUUGUCAAAAGGGAAACAGCCCAGACCGCCAGUUAAGGUCCCAAAAUUCACGCUAAGUGGGAAAGGAUGUGAAGUCGCACAGACAGCUAGGAGGUUGGCUUAGAAGCAGCCAUCCUUCAAAGAGUGCGUAAUAGCUCACUAGUCGAGUGACUUCGCGCCGAAAAUGUAUCGGGGCUAAGCGUGAUACCGAAACUGCGGAAUUGUAGAUAAUACAAUUGGUAGGGGAGCGUACUCAGGGCAUUGAAGGUAGACCGGGAGGACUACUGGAGCGCUGAGCAGAGAGAAUGCCGGUGUGAGUAGCGAUAAGACGGGUGAGAAUCCCGUCCGUCAGAAGCCCAAGGUUUCCAGGGGAAAGGCUCGUCCUCCCUGGGUAAGUCGGGGCCUAAGGUGAGGCUGAAGAGCGUAGCCGAUGGACAACAGGUUGAUAUUCCUGUACUACUAAUAGAACUGAUGGAGCGACGGAGGAGGCUAACUUGAGCUACUGAAUGGAUUGUAGUUUAAGCGCAAAGUGGUGUAACUAGGCAAAUCCGGUUACUAAGACCAUGAAACGUGAUGACGCAAGUUGAGUGAAGCCACACUUCCAAGAAAAACUUCUAGGGAUAAUUUUAUUAGUACCCGUACCGUAAACCGACACAGGUGGGCGAGGAGAGAAUCCAAAGACGCGCGAGAUAACUCUUGUUAAGGAACUCUGCAAAAUUACCCCGUAACUUCGGGAUAAGGGGGACUCUUAGAAAUAAGAGUCGCAGAUAAUAGGCCCAAGCGACUGUUUAACAAAAACACAGGUCUCUGCAAAACCGUAAGGUGAAGUAUAGGGGCUGACGCCUGCCCGGUGCUGGAAGGUUAAGAGGAGAUGUUAGCGCAAGCGAAGCUUUGAAUUGAAGCCCCAGUAAACGGCGGCCGUAACUAUAACGGUCCUAAGGUAGCGAAAUUCCUUGUCGGGUAAGUUCCGACCCGCACGAAAGGCGUAACGAUUUGGGCGCUGUCUCAACAAGAGACUCGGUGAAAUCAUAGUACCAGUGAAGAUGCUGGUUACCCGCGACUAGACGGAAAGACCCCAUGGAGCUUCACUGCAACUUAAUAUUGAUAUUGGGUUUGUGAUGUACAGGAUAGGUGGGAGACUAAGAACUGAGUACGCUAGUAUUCAGGGAGUCGACCUUGGGAUACCACCCUUCGCAAAUUUAGUAUCUAACUGGCGCUAGUAAACAUGGCACAGGACAGUGUUAGGUGGGCAGUUUGACUGGGGCGGUCGCCUCCUAAAGAGUAACGGAGGCGCCCAAAGGUUCCCUCAGAAUGGUUGGAAAUCAUUCAUAGAGUGUAAAGGCAGAAGGGAGCUUGACUGCGAGACCUACAAGUCGAGCAGGAACGAAAGUUGGGCUUAGUGAACCGGCAAUACUGAAUGGAAAGGUUGUCGAUCAACGGAUAAAAGCUACCCUGGGGAUAACAGGCUGAUCUCCCCCAAGAGUCCACAUCGACGGGGAGGUUUGGCACCUCGAUGUCGGCUCGUCGCAUCCUGGAGCUGAAGUAGGUUCCAAGGGUUGGGCUGUUCGCCCAUUAAAGCGGCACGCGAGCUGGGUUCAGAACGUCGUGAGACAGUUCGGUCCCUAUCUGUCGUGGGCGUAGGAAAUUUGAGAGGAGCUGUCCUUAGUACGAGAGGACCGGGAUGGACACACCGCUGGUGCACCAGUUGGCCCGCCAGGGCCACAGCUGGGUAGCUAUGUGUGGACGGGAUAAACGCUGAAAGCAUCUAAGCGUGAAGCCCCCCUCAAGAUGAGAUUUCCCAUUCG